rnacentral:rRNA from 1 species
UACGUAGGGGUGCAAGCGUUGUCCGGAAUUAUUGGGCGUAAAGAGCUCGUAGGCGGUUAGUCGCGUCUGCUGUGAAAACUCGGGGCUUAACUCCGGGCCUGCAGUGGGUACGGGCUGACUAGAGUGCGGUAGGGGAGACUGGAAUUCCUGGUGUAGCGGUGAAAUGCGCAGAUAUCAGGAGGAACACCGGUGGCGAAGGCGGGUCUCUGGGCCGUAACUGACGCUGAGGAGCGAAAGCGUGGGGGAGCGAACAGG